CUACGCUGGCGGCGUGCUUAACACAUGCAAGUCGAACGGUGAAGGAGGAGCUUGCUCUUCUGGAUCAGUGGCGAACGGGUGAGUAACACGUGAGCAAUCUGCCCUUGACUCUGGGAUAACAGUUGGAAACAGCUGCUAAUACCGGAUACGAGACGUGACCGCAUGGUCAACGUCUGGAAAGAACUUCGGUCAAGGAUGAGCUCACGGCCUAUCAGCUAGUUGGUGAGGUAAUGGCUCACCAAGGCGACGACGGGUAGCCGGCCUGAGAGGGUGACCGGCCACACUGGGACUGAGACACGGCCCAGACUCCUACGGGAAGCAGCAGCUAAGAAUAUUCCGCAAUGGACGAAAGUCUGACGGAGCGACGCCGCGUGGAUGAAGAAGGCCGAAGGGUUGUAAAGUUCUUUUGCUAGGGGAGAAUAAGUGAGGGAGGGAAUGCCCUCAUGAUGACAAGGACUAGCGAAUAAGCCCCGGCCAACUACGUG
rnacentral:rRNA from 1 species